GACGAACGCUGGCGGCGUGCUUAACACAUGCAAGUCGAACGGAAAGGCCCUGCUUUUGUGGGGUGCUCGAGUGGCGAACGGGUGAGUAACACGUGAGUAACCUGCCCUUGACUGUGGGAUAACUUCAGGAAACUGGGGCUAAUACCGGAUAGGAGCUCCUGCUGCAUGGUGGGGGUUGGAAAGUUUAGGCGGUUGGGGCUGGACUCGCGGCUUAUCAGCUUGUUGGGGGGGUAGUGGCUUACCAAGGCUUUGACGGGUAGCCGGCCUGAGAGGGUGACCGGCCUCCUGGGGCCUGCGGUACGGCCCAGACUCCUACGGGAGGCAGCAGUGGGAAAUCUUGCACAGUGGGCGGAAGCGUGAUGCAGAAACGCUGCGUGCGGGAUGACGGCCUUCGGGUUGUAAACCGCUUUCGCCUGUGACGAAGCGUGAGUGACGGUAAUGGGUAAAGAAGCACCGGCUAACUACGUG
rnacentral:rRNA from 1 species